AUGAACGCUGGCGGCGUGCCUAAUACAUGCCAGUCGAGCGAACAGACGAGGAGCUUGCUCCUCUGACGUUAGCGGCGGACGGGUGAGUAACACGUGGAUAACCUACCUAUAAGACUGGGAUAACUUCGGGAAACCGGAGCUAAUACCGGAUAAUAUAUUGAACCGCAUGGUUCAAUAGUGAAAGACGGUUUUGCUGUCACUUAUAGAUGGAUCCGCGCCGCAUUAGCUAGUUGGUAAGGUAACGGCUUACCAAGGCAACGAUGCGUAGCCGACCUGAGAGGGUGAUCGGCCACACUGGAACUGAGACACGGUCCAGACUCCUACGGGAGGCAGCAGUAGGGAAUCUUCCGCAAUGGGCGAAAGCCUGACGGAGCAACGCCGCGUAAGUGAUGAAGGUCUUCGGAUCGUAAAACUCUGUUAUUAGGGAAGAACAAAUGUGUAAGUAACUAUGCACGUCUUGACGGUACCUAAUCAGAAAGCCACGGCUAACUACGUG
rnacentral:rRNA from 1 species